UGGUCGGGAGGUGCCCAGUGGGAUGGGUGCCAAGAAUUGGCCGAAUUCAAUCUGUUCUCAUGGGGCACUCCGCCGUCGCCCAACGGUGUUGUGU
rfam:Octadecabacter temperatus strain SB1, complete genome.